UGGGGAAUAUUGGGCAAUGGGGGAAACCCUGACCCAGCAACGCCGCGUGAGGGAAGAAGGUUUUCGGAUUGUAAACCUCUGUCCUAUGGGAAGAAGGAAGUGACGGUACCAUGGGAGGAAGCCCCGGCUAACUACGUGCCAGCAGCCGCGGUAACACGUAGGGGGCGAGCGUUGUCCGGAAUAACUGGGCGUAAAGGGCGCGUAGGCGGCUUUACAAGUCUGAUGUGAAAGCCCCAUGCUUAACGUGGGGAGUGCAUUGGAAACUGUAGAGCUGGAGUACAGGAGAGGAAAGUGGAAUUCCCAGUGUAGCGGUGAAAUGCGUAGAGAUUGGGAGGAACACCAGUGGCGAAGGCGGCUUUCUGGACUGUAACUGACGCUGAGGCGCGAAAGCGUGGGGAGCAAACA
rnacentral:rRNA from 1 species